AAAGUCCUUGCUAGCUGUCCUUUGUGGCAAAGCUGUGGCUGGGGGAUCUGUACUCUGAUGGUAUGGCUGGUUUUGUAUUGCUUGCUGCUCAGUCAAAAUGAUAUGUGUGAUCAGGAUGCUGAAGACUUGAAUGGCUUUGUUUGCCUUCCUUUGCAGUACGGGACAUGAAGUGCAUCUGGAUGACUGGAAAAAGGCAAUUCAGCAGUUUAGUUUCCUGCCAUCACAGGAGCUGUCAGACUUGGCAAUGCUUUGCCUGGCUCCAGGACCAGUGCACUUGAAUUUUCUGAUGUGUGAAACCCCGCCCCGGUAUGAAACAUCGGAGGGAGUCAGGAGAAGAAAACAAUACUCUGGCUACAUGCAAAUCUUGCAAUCAACAAUUUAAAACCUUUAUGCUCCCAAAUUCGUUCCUUUUAUUUCAAAAUGAAAAUGCUUAAUCCUGUGCAUCUGGGGCUCAUGUUUGGCUGAUCUGGAGACUUCGGAGGGUAGGAAAGGGAAACUGCUUUGAUGCCUUCCCAUGCCUUUUCUGAUCAGCCAGGCACCAGAUAUGCCCUCUGAACAAAAAGCAGCAGUUUGUGCUCCAAGCAAGCCUUACUGACUUGGACUGCAGGUUUACGAUGAAGACCUGGGGACUCUGAUACUGUGAUGCAACAAUAAUGCUGAGGUUUUUAAAGAAACCAUUAUCUAACGGUUUCUAAUGGCUGUGCUUUUCCUUCCUAAGAGAAACUUUUUCAGUGCAAGCAGAGCAGUUAAUUCUGGUUGUCUGAAAGAAGACCAUGG
ensembl:lncRNA